UUUUUAGAAGGAUAAUAUGAA
rnacentral:piRNA from 1 species